GAUGGAGCACGCCGCGUGAGUGAAGAAGGCUUUCGGGUCGUAAAACUCUGUUGUUGGAGAAGAAUGGUCGGCAGAGUAACUGUUGUCGGCGUGACGGUAUCCAACCAGAAAGCCACGGCUAACUACGUGCCAGCAGCCGCGGUAAUACGUAGGUGGCAAGCGUUAUCCGGAUUUAUUGGGCGUAAAGCGAGCGCAGGCGGUUUUUUAAGUCUGAUGUGAAAGCCCUCGGCUUAACCGAGGAAGCGCAUCGGAAACUGGGAAACUUGAGUGCAGAAGAGGACAGUGGAACUCCAUGUGUAGCGGUGAAAUGCGUAGAUAUAUGGAAGAACACCAGUGGCGAAGGCGGCUGUCUGGUCUGUAACUGACGCUGAGGCUCGAAAGCAUGGGUAGCGAACAGGAUUAGAUACCCUGGUAGUCCAUGCCGUAAACGAUGAAUGCUAGGUGUUGGAGGGUUUCCGCCCUUCAGUGCCGCAGCUAACGCAUUAAGCAUUCCGCCUGGGGAGUACGACCGCAAGGUUGAAACUCAAAGGAAUUGACGGGGGCCCGCACAAGCGGUGGAGCAUGUGGUUUAAUUCGAAGCAACGCGAAGAACCUUACCAGGUCUUGACAUCUUUUGAUCACCUGAGAGAUCAGGUUUCCCCUUCGGGGGCAAAAUGACAGGUGGUGCAUGGUUGUCGUCAGCUCGUGUCGUGAGAUGUUGGGUUAAGUCCCGCAA
rnacentral:rRNA from 2 species